rnacentral:pre_miRNA from 9 species
UUUCGAUAGCGUAAAAGUUAACUUAAACUCAAAUUUGUAUGGAAUUGGAACGCUUGGCUACAUUUGCCGCUAGGGGUGCUGUUCCAACUCCAUACAAAUUUGAGUUAACUCUUACGCUAUCGA